AUCGACAGAGGCGAUGAGGUUCGCCUUUAACUGUCCUUUUGUUGAGAAAGGACUGAUAACUUCUACCGGGUU
rnacentral:ncRNA from 2 species